GAUGAAGAACGUAGUGAAAUGCGAUAAGUAAUGUGAAUAGCAGAAUUCAGUGAAUCAUCGAAUCUUUGAACGCACAUUGCGCCCGCCAGUAUUCUGGCGGGCAUGCCUGUUCGAGCGUCAUUUCAACCAUCAAGCCCCAGGCUUGUGUUGGGGACCUGCGGCUGCCGCAGGCCCUGAAAACCAGUGGCGGGCUCGCUGUCACACCGGGCGUAGUAGAUUUUAUCUCGCUCAGGGCGUGCUGCGGGUUCCGGCCGUUAAAAAGCCUUUUUUACCCAAGGUUGACCUCGGAUCAGGUAGGAAGACCCGCUGAACUUAAGCAUAUCAAUAAGCGGAGGA
rnacentral:misc_RNA from 1 species